rnacentral:tRNA from 1 species
GCCUGGGUGGCUCAGUCGUGAAGCGUCUGCUUUCAGCUCAGGUCAUGAUCCCAGGAUCGUGGGAUCAAGUCCCACGUCAGGCU